rnacentral:lncRNA from 1 species
AAGCCAAGGUAUAAAGUUACUUCCCUUGAUGUGCUUGAUCUAUAGGUGUGGUUAUUGGCCGGUGGUUUGGAGUUUUUCGAUUGCCGAAAAAUUACUUUAGACACCCGCCAACGGUGGAGGCGCGUGGCGGAGCUUCAGCGGGUUGUCAAGGUUGAGUUUUUGUCCUAAAAUGAUCCUCACGUUGUCCCGAGCACGACGGUAUCCUCGGAUUUCAAUUUGGUUAUCGUUUGAUCGUCGAUCGGAUAUCGCAUAUUAGGCAUUAUCUGAGUAAGAUAUGUUCGG